GACGAACGCUGGCGGCGUGCUUAACACAUGCAAGUCGAACGGUGAAGCGCCUUCCUUUUUGGUGGGUGUGGAUGAGUGGCGAACGGGUGAGUAACACGUGAGUAACCUGCCCCCUUCUUCUGGAUAACCGCAUGAAAGUGUGGCUAAUACGGGAUAUUCUGGGUCUGUCGCAUGAUGGGUCUGGGAAAGAUAUUGUUUCGGUGGGGGAUGGGCUCGCGGCCUAUCAGCUUGUUGGUGGGGUGAUGGCCUACCAAGGCGGUGACGGGUAGCCGGCCUGAGAGGGUGGACGGUCACAUUGGGACUGAGACACGGCCCAGACUCCUACGGGAGGCAGCGGUGGGGAAUAUUGCACAAUGGGCGCAAGCCUGAUGCAGCGACGCCGCGUGAGGGAUGGAGGCCUGCGGGUUGUGAACCUCUUUCGCCAGUGAAGCAGGCCUGCCUCGUUUGUGGGUGGGUUGACGGUAGCUGGAGAAGAAGCGCCGGCUAACUACGUG
rnacentral:rRNA from 1 species